UACGGAGGAUCCGAGCGUUAUCCGGAUUUAUUGGGUUUAAAGGGUGCGUAGGCGGCCUGUUAAGUCAGGGGUGAAAUACGGUGGCUCAACCAUCGCAGUGCCUUUGAUACUGAUGGGCUUGAAUCCAUAUGAAGUGGGCGGAAUAAGACAAGUAGCGGUGAAAUGCAUAGAUAUGUCUUAGAACUCCGAUUGCGAAGGCAGCUCACUAAGCUGGUAUUGACGCUGAUGCACGAAAGCGUGGGGAUCGAACAGGAUUAGAUACCCUUGUAGUCCAGUUGGCCGAGUACAGU
rnacentral:rRNA from 1 species